rnacentral:lncRNA from 1 species
AGGUCGUAGCCGUCUCCAGGAGCCCUUAGAGACCGAGUCCCGGCGGCGACGGCGGGGCAGCGCACCGGCAGGCGGAACAAGCUCAUCUUUCUUGUGGCUCUCCACAAUAGCCCCUACCUCCACCUUUCUCAGUGCCAGGCAAAGCUUGAUCAGCCGACAGACCACUUUGUUAGCAAUCUGCAGCUAGAUUCAUUCCACUUAAAACCUGAAAACAUUGGACCACACAAAGUCUUACUGAAACACUGAACUGUACUUCAGUAUUUGAUGGCAUGGCAUCGUUAAGAGAUCGUUACUCGUGCAUCAGCUUAAUCGCCUGCUAGGGGCUGUUUCCCUCAGAAGGAUGUGAAAAGAAAAGAGUGUGCAUACAUUUUAUAGAUUAUUAUAAGUUAUUUUUUCAAUACUUGACAGGAGCGUCUAAUGACUAUUGAUAAUAUUCUUAUAUAUUUUUUCUACUUUAAUUUUUAUAUAUUC